CUCCAGACAGCUGACCAUGCAUCUUCAAAUUGUUUUCAAGUUGAAUGGCCUCAUCCAAUCGUCUGACCACUCUUUCAAAGCAGAAGUAUCGCCCACAUGCUCCAUAAUCCAUUUCUUCAUAAACAUGGACGUGGGCCUUUGCCACCUUGCUUAUAUCAUUGGUUGCCAAGACACCUCGUUGUAGCAUCAUCCGCCCACCUGCACAUGACAUCUUGGUAUGGUGAAAUAGCCAUAAUAAAGCAGAGUUCAGCUUUUCUAUUAGGUUGCCCUGAAUUUUGGCCAGGCUUUGGAUCUCAUUGAAAUGGUUGUGUUUCAAUUUUCUUCCUCUAUGUUCCAAAAUUUUGGUCAAUUUUCAGUUUCUUAACACAAAAUCUACUAUAUUUUGGUCAGGAAACAAAGCAACAUCAAGGCUUUCUGGGGCUGAUAGGAAUGGAUCCCAUUCACCUCAUUCUUCACCAACAUCUAAGUAAAGAUGAAAUUAGUGUCUUUACCUUUAAGAUAUGGUACAGAGGUUUCAGUAUGAGCAUUUGGGAAUGAUGGGGCCAUGAGAAGCCCGGGGCACACUGUAACAAGCUUCACUUUCAUUUCCUGUGACUUACUCCAAGCAACCUUCUCUGCUGCUGUCUUGCCCAUAGCAAGCCAAAGCUGUUUUCCCCAACAAAAUCAGCAAUCAAAAUUCAUUAUUUCAUCUAUGAAUUAGCCACAACAUGUGGUUGACCAUCG
rnacentral:lncRNA from 1 species